rnacentral:rRNA from 1 species
CAGUCGCCGCGGGAAUACAGAGGAUUUAAGCGUUAUCCGGAAUGAUUGGGCGUAAAGCGUCUGUAGGUGGCUUUUCAAGUCCGUCGUCAAAUCCCAGGGCUCAACCCUGGACAGGCGGUGGAAACUACCAAGCUAGAGUACGGUAGGGGCAGAGGGAAUUUCCGGUGGAGCGGUGAAAUGCGUUGAGAUCGAAAAGAACACCAACGACGAAAGCACUCUGCUGGGUCGACACUGACACUGAGAGACGAAAGCUAGGGGAGCAAAUGGGAUUAGAUACCCCUGUAGUCCCUGUCUCUUAUAC